GAAGCUCUUUGUAGUCGAAGACAUACAAACCUUAUUUAUGUGAAAAUGUGAGCCUUUUCAUUUAGCUUUCGAAAUAUCAGUGAUAAAUAUUCGCGGUGUGGAAAUUGCUUUUCCGUUUAAGCCUUACGAUUGUCAAAUAAAGUACAUGGAGAAGGUCAUUCAGUGUUUGCAAGAGGGUAAGAAUGGCAUUCUCGAAUCUCCAACUGGUACUGGUAAAACACUGUGCUUGCUCUGUGCAACAUUGACUUGGCGUGACACAUACAAAUCACAUUUGCAACUCAGCAACUGAAUACCAAAGUACAACAGAAAAAAGCAAAUGGCAGGUUUUAUGAAAACUUAAAGGAAAACUUAGGUCAAGCCGCUAUUGGUCAGAUGAUGAUGAUGGAAACCCAGACUACGAAGUGCCAAAAAUCAUAUAUACCUCAAGAACACAUUCUCAGCUUACACAGGCAGUUAAAGAACUCAAAAACAACAUUUAUAAACCUAAAGUUUGUGUCUUGGGAUCUAGAUAACAACUUUGCAUUCAUCCACAAGUUGUACAACAAGAAACCCAUUCUGCUAAGGUUAGUUAAAAGUCAUUAGUCCAAGGUUGGUUAUUAAUUUCAGUUUACUCUCAAUACUGCCAUGGACAUUUAAUUAGCAUUUAUGUCUCAAUUAAGAUACUGUGGCCAUCUGACCAUUUUUUUAUCAAGACAC